UGUCCUUCACUCCAGCGCCUGGACACACCGGACCCUGGGUGCAUCCACAGCGGAGGAUGCGAGCCAGGCCCUGGGCGAUGACUUCUCCCGCUCUGGUCUUCGAGAUCUCCAUCUGGAACCGCUUCGCUCCCCUCCACGAGACGUGAUCGUCAGAGACUCCAUUGGCUGACACGUCCAUGAUACCUACAAUCCUGAAGGCUGGCGAGAGCCCCGGAGGGGUCAUGCUUCACGCCGGGGUUAACGACACCAUGCUGCGGUAGACAGAGACUCUGAAGAGGGACUUCAGGAGCCUGAUCGAGACGGGGCGCAGCACGACGCCCGUGGCGACGAUCAUUGUGUCAGGACCAUGUAUCGAUGAGGACACGAAAGGUUCGGUAGACUUUUUGCUUUAAAUGAUUGGUUAUUGACAUGGUGUAAAGAACAGAAACUGCUCUUUGUUAAUCAUUGGAAUAUUUUCUGGGAGCGUCCUAGGCUUUUUCACGCUGAUGGCCUGCACCCCAGCAGAGUCAGAGCGAAAAUCCUCUCGGACAACAUCUCCAGGACACUUUGCUCCAUAUGACUAGAUUGACACAAGCUCCAGUCUGGAUCCAGAACACCUGAGAAGAGAAGAUGCCAACCCCUCAGAGGACCUCAGCCUCAAAACCAAAAAUCUCAAUGGCAGUGAAACUGUAAUCUUGACCUUUACAUUCUGUUAUGAUGGAGAAGAUCAAUCCGAGUGGGGAUUUAAGAGCUUUCCACUGCCUUUCCAUGCAGCAGCAUCAUGCUUUAGCGAGGCCACUGUGCUGCUUUAUGGGCUGAAGAUGAUAGAUUGGACUCAGCGUUUGUUUAUAAUAGAACAGGGUAUUGACUGGGCUCUUGGCCAUUGCGUCUCACAAGCACUGGGUCUAUUUUAAGCAUCUUGUUUGUGCACAAACAAUUGACUUUCAUCAUAAGAGUGGAUUCGCAUGCAUUACAAAUCUUUCAAAUGUUCUAACACCUCACUGAGAUCCCCACACAAUGCAUUGCAGGUGAUUAAAUGCUCUAAAGAUUUCAUCAUCCAGGCAAACCGCAGAUACAUUUACAAUCUUUGGAUUUCCAUCCUGUUUCUCUUCCUCUUUCCUCCACCGAAACACUUAAUAGAAGUUUUGUCUCGCUCAAUGAACACAUAAUACCUGCAUUUUUCAUAAGCUGAGAGAGGUUGACAGUCCUAACAUUAGUGAUUGACAGCCAACAAUACUGUACGAAACAUGCUUUUCGGUCAUAUGUGCAUCAGUGACGUGACAGACAACUUGUCGACUGCAGUUUCAUUGGUACAGCGCACAUCAAGAAAACUGGCUCACAGAGCUCAGGUAUGAGUCCUGAAACUUAAAAAGGAGUCCGUUCAGGUAUUGAAUUCAGUUGUCGAUCUCUUUCAUGUGAAUUGUAUUUAGGACUGCAGACAGGAUUUACAGCUGUACUGACACAUGGAAAUUUGUGAUGUUGUAAUUCACAUAUUUCAUUAUAUAUAUAUAUAUAUAUAUAUAUAUAUAUAUAUAUAUAUAUAUAU